GUCCCUUCGGUGACAUUCGAUAAAAUUGGAACAAUACAGAGAAGAUUAGUAUGGCUCCUGCGCAAAGAUGACACGCAUAAAUCGAAAAAUGGUACAAAUUUCA
rnacentral:snRNA from 1 species